GAUGAACGCUGGCGGCGUGCCUAAUACAUGCAAGUCGAGCGAACGGACGAGAAGCUUGCUUCUCUGAUGUUAGCGGCGGACGGGUGAGUAACACGUGGAUAACCUACCUAUAAUACUGGGAUAACUUCGGGAAACCGGAGCUAAUACCGGAUGAUAUUUUGAACCGCAUGGUUCAAAAGUGAAAGACGGUCUUGCUGUCACUUAUAGAUGGAUCCGCGCUGCAUUAGCUAGUUGGUAAGGUAACGGCUUACCAAGGCAACGAUGCAUAGCCGACCUGAGAGGGUGUACAGCCACACUUGAACUGAGACACGGUCCAGACUCCUACGGGAGGCAGCAGUAGGUAAUCUUCCGCAAUGGGCGAAAGCCUGACGGAGCAACGCCGCGUGAGUGAUGAAGGUCUUCGGAUCGUAAAACUCUGUUAUUAGGGAAGAACAUAUGUGUAAGUAACUGUGCACAUCUUGACGGUACCUAAUCAGAAAGCCACGGCUAACUACGUG
rnacentral:rRNA from 1 species